GCUGUUUGCUGCUGUUUAGCUGUACAAGUAUUUUUACACUUACGUAAAACUCAAAUGCCGGCAAUACGAAAGUCGUUAAUUUUACUUGUUAUAAGUUAAUAGUUUUAUUUUCGUUAUCAUGACAGUUGAAAGCAAACAGACAGACAGGCAGAGCGGCCCAGAGGCAGACAGAGAGAGAAAGAAAGAGAGAGGCAGGGAAGAGAUGAGAUUGCACUUGGUUGUUGCACAACCUUUGCAACCAGGCGCGUGUUGUUCGUUAACACUCCAGCUCCGGCCAACAGCCUCUCCUUCACCCUCUCCAGCCAUGCGGAUUCAAUCAAAUAUCCAAAUCGCAGACGGAUCUGUGGAAUGUUUCAGGUCUGCACAGCCCCCCAUUUACAGCAACAUAAACAAGCGUUCUCUCUCCUUAAUAUAAUUCACCUUGGACGGCCCCCCGAAUAGAAGAAAAAUCCACACACAAAUUACAGGGCAAACUGAUAAAGCAACAAGAGCCAGAAUUCAAAGAGUUGUCGACGGCUGAGAUUGAUAAAUAAAUUGAAUUCCAUUCCAGUCUGCGAGAGAUAUUUUUGAAUGACACAAUCAA